UUUGAAAUCUGGCUCUCGGGCCCGAGUUGUAAUUUGUAGAGGAUGCUUUUGAUGAGGUGCCUUCCGAGUUCCCUGGAACGGGACGCCAUAGAGGGUGAGAGCCCCGUCUGGUUGGACACCGAUCCUCUGUAAAGCUCCUUCGACGAGUCGAGUAGUUUGGGAAUGCUGCUCUAAAUGGGAGGUAUAUGUCUUCUAAAGCUAAAUACCGGCCAGAGACCGAUAGCGCACAAGUAGAGUGAUCGAAAGAUGAAAAGAACUUUGAAAAGAGAGUUAAAAAGUACGUGAAAUUGUUGAAAGGGAAGCGCUUGUGACCAGACUUGGGCUUGGUUGAUCAUCCGGGGUUCUCCCCGGUGCACUCUUCCGGCUCAGGCCAGCAUCAGUUCGCCCUGGGGGAUAAAGGCUUCGGGAAUGUGGCUCUCUCCGGGGAGUGUUAU
rnacentral:rRNA from 1 species